GCAGAGGUGGCUCAAAGGUUAAGAGCACUGACUAUUCUUCCAGAGGUCCUGAGUUCAAUUCCCAGCAACUACA
rfam:Neotoma lepida isolate 417 scaffold_1626, whole genome shotgun sequence.